rnacentral:rRNA from 1 species
UACAGAGGGGGCAAGCGUUGUUCGGAAUUACUGGGCGUAAAGGGCGCGUAGGCGGCCUUCUAAGUCGAACGUGAAAUCCCUGGGCUCAACCCAGGAACUGCGUCCGAUACUGGAAGGCUUGAAUCCGGGAGAGGGAUGCGGAAUUCCAGGUGUAGCGGUGAAAUGCGUAGAUAUCUGGAGGAACACCGGUGGCUAAGGCGGCAUCCUGGACCGGUAUUGACGCUGAGGCGCGAAAGCCAGGGGAGCAAACGGG